rnacentral:rRNA from 1 species
GAUGAACGCUGGCGGUAUGCUUAACACAUGCAAGUCGAACGGACUCUUCGGAGUUAGUGGCGGACGGGUGAGUAACGCGUGAGAAUCUGGCUUUGGGUUCGGGACAACCACUGGAAACGGUGGCUAAUACCGGAUGUGCCGAGAGGUAAAAGAGAAAUUGCCUGAAGAUCAGCUCGCGUCUGAUUAGCUAGUUGGUGAGGUAAAGGCUCACCAAGGCAGCGAUCAGUAGCUGGUCUGAGAGGAUGACCAGCCACACUGGGACUGAGACACGGCCCAGACUCCUACGGGAGGCAGCAGUGGGGAAUUUUCCGCAAUGGGCGAAAGCCUGACGGAGCAAUACCGCGUGAGGGAAGAAGGCUCUUGGGUUGUAAACCUCUUUUCUUAGGGAAGAACAAAAUGACGGUACCUAAGGAAUCAGCAUCGGCUAACUCCGUG